UACGAGAGGCCCAAACGUUAAUCGGAAUUACUGGGCGUAAAGCGUGCGCAGGCGGUUUUGUAAGUCUGACGUGAAAUCCCCGGGCUCAACCUGGGAAUUGCGUUGGAGACUGCAAGGCUGGAGUCUGGCAGAGGGGGGUAGAAUUCCACGUGUAGCAGUGAAAUGCGUAGAGAUGUGGAGGAACACCGAUGGCGAAGGCAGCCCCCUGGGUCAAGACUGACGCUCAUGCACGAAAGCGUGGGGAGCAAACAGG
rnacentral:rRNA from 1 species